UCCAUCUCAGUCUUGAAGAAAAAACAGGAAAAGCAUGCAUAUAGUAGCGGAUUGACUAAAAGGAAAGGAAAUAAGAAAGAGCUGAGAAGGAUACAGGAGACGGCUAGACAUGACUGAAAGAUCAACACUAGCUAGCUGGAGUUUGAAAAUAUAUACGGUAAUGGUUUCACAUGUGAAGGAAAACAGUAAAUAUGGCAGCAAGCAAAGAGAAGAGACAAAGGAGAAGCAAUUAUAUUAUAUGUUCAUUACUAGUGCUGGAAUAGAUUCUUGGACUCCGAAAUCCUAAGGGGAAGAAAAAGUUAUCAUUAUCUUAAAUCAGAGAAAUGAUUUAAUUUGAGAAGUGAUGAAUGUUCAUGGGCCUGGCAUGGUCGAUUUAGUUGUGUCACUCUUGCCAUACCAAUACCAUGUGAGGUCACUGCUACUUUCAUUUUUG
rnacentral:misc_RNA from 1 species